rnacentral:misc_RNA from 1 species
UGCAAAGUAAAAAUCUCUUUCCUUUUCCAAUUGGUCCACAGAGAGCUUGAGGUCAGCAAUCUGCAAAUACACAACAAAAUUUAGCACUCAAAGCAUAAAAUUCAAUAUUGCCGGCGUACAGAAGGAAAAGCAAUAUCAGUUGAAAAUUUUUAAAUAACUUAAAGAUAUUUCAUCUUGUCUAGUACAUAAUCCUCGACCACUGAAAAAAAAAAAUCUGCAUUGAUGACCAUCAUAAACACAAAAGCCAAGGGAAAUGAAACCUGCUCAUGUUAUGAAAUUCAAGCUAGAAAACCUGCUCAUGUUUUGAAAAUAGUGCUGGAUACCUCCUUGGACAAAGUCUCUAUCUCUGCUGAAGAAUUAGCUCCACCUCUCACAGCACUUCCCCUCCCUUGCUU